AAAAACUCCUUUAUAAGGGGAUCUAUUUAAAACCCCAGUGUCAACCAAUUUUUACUUUCUGCCUAGAAUGAUGUAUGUGUAGGAGAAUGAGCUGUAAUGUUCCCAAAGUGCCUUGUUUUCUCUGAUACAAAUAUAUUUACAAGGACCUGCUUCAGAGGAUUCUGGAGAGCGUUCACCACAUCAAGAUGUUAGGGAGUGGGCUAGUAUGUCGUGGGGAUACAGUCUGAAAAUGGGGCCCCUUCUCCCAAGGACGGGAAAGGAGCUAGAGGUGGAGAUCUGAGCAGUGGGGUUAAGCCAAACUCCUGAAGUGACCCUUUCCUCUUCACCCGACUCCUCUCAGACAUCCAGUUUUUCAAAGUCCUGUGCCUCCAAGCCUGAUCUCACUUGAGUUCCUGCCAGGCUUACGUGUGUACCACAUUAGCACCCCAGUGACCUGAAGAUUCUACGUAAUUGUUUUAUGUAUAUAUGCAAAUACACAAAUGUCAACAUUUUAAGUAAUCUGAUAAACUCUUUGGAACCAUGCAAAAAACAGAAAUAAAACCCUAGUGUUAUUAAUACUGCAGAUAUGAAAUUCAGAAUGUGGAAGCUCUCUAGCUCAAACUGUCAAAAUCACAGUUAACUGACUUAGCAUGAAAAUGAAUCCUUAUUUUGAAACCUAUUCCAGUUGUUAUAAUCAAUCUUACUAAAAUACACAGUGUACUUGAUAUAUCAUUACAAUUUUUACAGCUAAAGAAAAAUAGUAGAAUAUAACGUGAUUCCCACAACACAGAAGAGGGUGGCCUCCCUUUACUCCAGGAUAAA
rnacentral:lncRNA from 1 species